ACAUUGGUGGUUCCGUGGUAGGAUUCUCUCCUUGCAUGCAGAAGGCCCAGGUUUGAUUCCUGGCCAAUGCA
rnacentral:tRNA from 1 species